rnacentral:rRNA from 1 species
AUACGUAGGUGACAAGCGUUAUCCGGAUUUACUGGGCGUAAAGGGCGUGUAGGCGGUCUAGCAAGUCAGAAGUGAAAUUCCUGAGCUCAACUCGGGCGCUGCUUCUGAAACUGCAGGACUUGAGUGCUGGAGGGGAUAGCGGAAUUCCUAGUGGAGCGGUAAAAUGCGCAGAUAUUAGGAAGAACACCGGUGGCGAAGGCGGCCUUCUGGCAAAUGACUGACGCUGAGGUGCGAAAGGGUGGGGAUCAAACAGGAUUAGAUACCCUGGUAGCCCAGACUGUAAACGAUGCGCACUAGGUGCUGGGGCGGAUGCUUCAGUGCCGGAGCUAACGCGGUAAGUGCACCGCCUGGGGAGUAUGCUCGCAAGGGUGAAACUCAAAGGAAUUGACGG